AGCAUCCAUUCGUAUCUCAUCCGGUUAAUGAUAUAGAAGACACUAAGGUUACCAACAAGUUUCUGAAGUGGCUGUCUGUGGAUAUUCUUAAAUUUCAUGCAAAAAGAAGCAACAAGCAAGAACACUAUAAGAAGGGCAAGUCCAAAAUAUCAGUAAUCAGUUUUGGAGUUUUAGCUGUGGAAAACAAGAAUUGGUUCUACAUUAUGGGUACUCCUGGACAAUCAUGGUCUGAUGAGAUGCAUUUAUGUACAUGAUUCUUUGUUGUCUGCUGGUCAUGAUGCUGGGGUACUUGCUGAAGUUGAAAAGUUAGCUAAGGUUAUACCUAUAUGUCUCGUUACAUAAAUUUUACGAGAAGAAGGGUAUUGAUAUUGCUACUCAUUCAAAUUACAAAUUCUAUGACAAGAUAGAUCUAUUUGACAUUUAUGUGGUGGAGGAUUUGUCUCAACAACCAAGUGGCAGUUUGGAUUGUGGUUUAUAUAUGGUGACAUAUGCCGAGUGUCUCACCUUUGGAGAUAUUGUUUCACCUGUUGAUUUUGAUCCAGAUCUGAUUCGUACGAGAUAUGCUUCUAUUUUGUGGAAUUAUGGUUUGAAGAAAGAAGAAGAGAAUGCACAAAGUGAUGAUGAAGCGCCAAUGAGACCUCCUCGUGAAAUUGGUUUACAGAAGACACUGAAGUUCAUGAAAUUUGAUGUUUAUUUUUAUUUUGCUGUAAUUUACAUUAUUUAACAUCAGU